rnacentral:rRNA from 1 species
UACCAGCACCCCGAGUGGUCGGGACGUUUAUUGGGCCUAAAGCAUCCGUAGCCGGUUCUACAAGUCUUCCGUUAAAUCCACCUGCUUAACAGAUGGGCUGCGGAAGAUACUAUGGAGCUAGGAGGCGGGAGAGGCAAGCGGUACUCGAUGGGUAGGGGUAAAAUCCGUUGAUCCAUUGAAGACCACCAGUGGCGAAGGCGGCUCACUGGCCCGGUACUGACGCUGAGGUGCGAAAGCGUGGGGAGCAAACAGG